rnacentral:rRNA from 1 species
CACAUGCAAGUCGCACGAGAAAGGGCUUCGGCCCCGGUAAAGUGGCGCACGGGUGAGUAACACGUGGGUAAUCUGCCUUCGAGCGGGGGAUAACAUUCCGAAAGGAGUGCUAAUACCGCAUAAGACCACGCCCUCGAAAGAGGAAGCGGUCAAAGCUGGCCUCUAUAUAUAAGCUAGCACUUGAGGAUGAGCCCGCGGUGCAUCAGCUAGUUGGUGAGGUAAUGGCUCACCAAGGCUAAGACGCAUAGCUGGUCUGAGAGGAUGAUCAGCCACACUGGAACUGAGACACGGUCCAGACUCCUACGGGAGGCAGCAGUGGGGAAUCUUGCGCAAUGGGGGAAACCCUGACGCAGCGACGCCGCGUGAGUGAUGAAGGCCUUCGGGUUGUAAAGCUCUGUGGGGAGAGACGAAUAAGUGCAGCCUAAUACGUUGCAUGAUGACGGUAUCUCCUUAGCAAGCACCGGCUAACUCUGUGCCAGCCGCCGCGGUAAUAC